CGGGGUGGCGGCGGCCGGUUCCCCACGGUGGCGGCCGGAGCAGCGGCUGCAGGAGCCCGGCUCUAGGAUGAAGUUCAAGCCCAACCAGACGCGGACGUACGACCGCGAGGGCUUCAAGAAGAGGGCGGCCUGCCUGUGCUUCCGCAGCGAGCAGGAGGACGAGGUGCUGCUGGUGAGUAACAGUGGGUACCCAGACCAAUGGAUUAUCCCAGGAGGAGGGAUGGAGCCGUAGGAGGGGCCUGGCAGUGCUGCUGUGAGGGAAGUGUAUGAAGAGGCUGGAGUCCAAGGAAAAUUAGGCAGACUCCUGGGAAUAUUUGAGAAUCAAGACCGGAAGCACAGAACAUAUGUUUAUGUUCUGACCGUCACUGAAAUAUUGGAAGACUGGGAAGACUCCGUGAAUAUAGGAAGGAAGAGAGAGUGGUUCAAAGUACAAGAUGCAAUCAAGGUUCUUUAGUGUCAUAAGCCUGUCCAUGCAGAGUACCUGGAAAAACUAAAGCUGGGGUGCUCUCUGACCAAUGGAAAUUCCUCAGUCCCUUCCCUCCCAGAUAACAACGCCUUGUUUGUGACUGCUGCACUGCCCUCUGGGGUGCCAUCCAGUAUAAGAUAG